rnacentral:lncRNA from 1 species
GCGGGGUACGUGUGCGUUUGUGUGAAGCAUGUUCGAAACGCAAGUCACGUAAAAAGAACGAAGGAAAGUGGUUUUGGUUUUGGUUCUCUUGGCCUCAUAAUAAUUCAUAUUCUUCACUGAAUUGGAUGUUUUAUUCUGCGUCGAGCACUGCCAUUUGUCCCACAUCGAAUCGCCUUUGCCUCUUCUUUCUCACUUCGAACUUGGAUUGGAUACAUUAUCCCGUCUACAUUGCAUGUAUAUGGUCCCACAUUGCUCAAAAUUUCAUACCUCCACAUCAUCUCUAUAUAUUUCUGACCCAUCUGUCAUAUUUUCAACUCAGUUUCGUACUUUUAAACUUAUCCUACGUAAUUAUAUGUGUACAAAGCAUUAUCUAGUGAAUGAUGAAUCUGUUAAUACUUAAAUGUUUCUUGAGUUAAUUUAUGAUUAGAGAAAGAUUCAAAGCAUGACAUAAAUUUUUAUGGAAGAAAUAUUUUUGAAAGAGUAGAUUAUUUAACGCCAAUUUAUUUUUUUCUUCGAGAAGUGUGGAACCACAAUUUGAAACGAAUAUAGAAUCUAUACC